rnacentral:rRNA from 1 species
GACGAACGCUGGCGGCGUGCUUAACACAUGCAAGUCGAACGGAAAGGCCCUGCUUGCAGGGUACUCGAGUGGCGAACGGGUGAGUAACACGUGGGUGAUCUGCCCUGCACUUCGGGAUAAUCCUGGGAAACUGGGUCUAAUACCGGAUAGAAGACAUUCUUAGUGUGAUGGGUGGAAAGUUUUUUAGGUGUAGGAUGAGAUCGCGGCCUAUCAGCUUGUUGGUGGGGUAAGUGCCUACCAAGGCGGCGACGGGUAGCCGGCCUGAGAGGGUGGACGGCCAAAUUAGGACUGGGGUAGCGACCAGAACACUACUGGAAGCAGCGGCGGGGGAAAGUGCCACAUGGGCGCGAGCCUGAUACAGAGACUCCGAGUGGGGGAUGACGGCCUUUGGGUUGGAAAGGCCAUUCGCUAGGUACCAAGAUUUUUGUGACGGUACCUAGAUAAGAAGCACCGGCUAACUACGUG